rnacentral:lncRNA from 1 species
GUGCAUCACGUAUACAUUGCUCACAGAGUGAGGGUGGGAGAUGACAGGAAGGGGAGAGACACGAAGGUUCUAACCUCACGGUGGGUGGUAAACGAUAGAUAAGAUGCGCUUCCAUUUUGUCUUUGGACACCACAGGGAAGAACAAGUUUUCUGAAUGUUGAAAAUCCAUAUUUGAAGUCAAUUUAUGAUGGAGAUGAAAAAGGAAGAGAAAAUGAUAAGAAAAAGAUGGCAGAAUAUCGAUAUAUACUUAAAAAAAUAUUACCACGAUAAUCGAGGUGACACAAAAACAUCGUAAAUAUGUACACGACAAAACAGGGAAUAAGAAAUGUGGUAAUCGUUUCACUUUUGAAACUUUAUCGAGUUUGUUGCAAGAAAUGUUUCUUGGAUAACAAUGAAGCCUAAACCGUGGCACCUUCGGCCCUUGUUUCCGUUCUCACGUUCAUUCGUUCUAAAUGGAAUCAACGAUCUUUUUAUUAGUCACCUUCUCAUUGCUAGUUUGCCGUUUAUUUAGAAAAUUGUCUUGAGAAAGGAUACCACUACUUAAUACCUAGAGAAAUUUUUAUAUAACUAUAUAUACUUAUAUACUAAUUAUGAUAAUAGUAUUUCUUUAAUAUUAA